UUGUCUUUGUCGUCAGGGAGAGGGCAGGACUGCGGGAGGCUCUGGUUCUGUACUUUCAGAGGCUCGGGAGUGUAUUUAUCUCCACUGAUUGGGGGAUCUGUAGUUAGACACACAGACUGCACCACUGUCAGGGCUGCUGCGAUAAAAAACAACCAUCUGACCAAUCAGAAUCAAGAGCUCACCAGCGCUGGAGUAUAAAUGACAUUUGAUGCAUUCUUGAGAGCUGCAUUCUUGGUACCGUGACGAUUGUUAAUAUCUCACCUGUAAUCGGAGGCGGAGCGGGUUGAGGCUGCUGAUUAGGACUGACGGAGCGGCGAGCUUUUACAGAACUCUCUGUUUCUCUGGAUGUCAGUUUCAGAGAGGGAACCUGCUUCAUGUCUACUGAAGCUGCAAAGACAAAUUCAACUCAGUUCAGUGCAAGCCGGUGGCAAGAAAAACUCCCUAAGAUGAUAAGAGGAAGAAACCUUGAGAGGAACCAGACUCAGAAGGGAACCCGUCCUCAUCUGGGUAACACCGGAUAGUUUGAGAGUAAAAGAAAGUUCAUUAUGGCUUUUAUAUGAAGGCUGGUUUGUUGAACUAGUCCACUGUUCACUAAAGGGGUCUUGAGUGCAAAACUGUAUGUGGUAAUUGCAGUCCUAAUGCCACAGCAAAAAAAUCUCCUGUAGACUUGUGUAGUGUGUCAAAUUUCUCCCUUGUGACUCAAAAUUCCUUUUUUCUAUCAGAUUAAAGAGGUAACAUCACAGUUUAAAACCUCAAUUUAACGUUUCAGAUUCAUUUGAAUUUUUUAUAUUAUUUAUCCACAAUAAAAUUUUCACAUUGCUAUUUAUUCAUUUGCAUUUCUUUCCCAUGACCAAGGUAAAAUUACCUAUGUUUGAGCUCGAAAUAGGGUAUAACCAUAUUUGGAUGCUUUUAAUAUAAAUAAAGCAUAAGUAUUGGCACCCUUUUGCUGUGUUUACGUGCAUGGAGAGCACGAACGCGUGCUCCACUGUAAUCCCGCUAAAGAUUAAUGGAUUGGCAUCUUUUAAUGUAUAGGUUGUGUCUGGGAGAGUAGACAAACCAAAAGUUUGCUCCUCUUUAGUUCCACUAAAUAUAAAAGUAUUGGCACCUUUUCAUUUGGAUGCACACACUGUCUUGUGCCUUUACACGUUUACACUAUGAGAGAGAAAUGCAGCCAAGGCACACACAUGUUAACCUCAAACAAGAGAUGCCUGGAGUAUUUUCCCAAUAUCUCAAAUCACCACAUGAUAACCUCUAGAGAAAUUCCUCCUAUUGUGAUGCCUAAAAUUAUGUGAUGAGGAAGACUGACAGACACACACACAGAUGGGAUGUGGAUAGUCCUGUUUCCUCACCUCACUCGCGAAGUGCUAUAACGUUCUAUAUCUUGAGUUAUAGUUGUUACUGCAGGUUCACCCUAUCCAUGUAGCAUGUAU